rnacentral:rRNA from 1 species
UAGCAGUGAGGAAUAUUGGUCAUUAGCCUAACGGCUGAACCAGCAACUUGGAGGAACAUACAGCAAUAGCUGGUUGCAUUAACAAUAAGUUUUUACAACAUCGACUAUGUCGAAUAAAGUUCUAGGUAGAGUUAUGAUAAUGACAUUUUCUAUCUAUGUGUCUUGACCAAAUCACGUGCCAGCAGUCGCGGUAAUACGUGGAAGACUAGUGUUAUUCAUCUUUAAUUGGUUUAAAGGGUACCUAGACGGUCUAUUAAGCCCCUAAAGGGUACUUACAGACUAGAGUUUGAUGAGAGGGGGGAAGUACGAGAGAGUGUAGAGAUGAAAUUCUGUCAUACCUUACUUGGAACAGGCAACGGCGAAAGCAACUCCUUAUGUAAAAACUGACGUUGAAGGACGAAGGA